rnacentral:lncRNA from 1 species
UUUUCCGCAGGAAUAUAGUCUUCUGUCUUCAGAGCAUGGGGAGAUUUGUCGUGGCAGAUGUUCAUUUUAAGAAAACCCAAUUCACACUCAGCAAUACGAAACCUUCACUGAAAAACAUCAGGGAGAGAUGAUUCUUGCAUAAAUGGAUCGUUUGCAGGAAUCUUAUACGAACUAAAGUUCUCUGGGCAAAGACGAGAUUUACAAAAACUCAACUGUCAACUCGCCUGGAACAUAGUCAUUCCAUAAACAGGGCUGUUUAUGACAUUUUACGCCAGGUCUGUCUCUCUCUCUCACACACACAGGGAUGUGUGGCUUAACAGGCCUAGGGGUUUCAACGACGACUGUCGCCCCGACACGCUUCUGUCCUUAGAAGGGUGACAGGUCGGAGCACACACAGGCAGUUCCCUGCUUCUGGACACUGACCUUCUCUUACCUCAUACACUGAUGACCCAGGCCGCCCUGCCAGGCCCGAGCUGAGCACAGGAGCCAGCUGCAGCCACAGAAGCACUUCCUGCCGGCUGAGACGGCCCCAAGAGGGACGGAGGGGGGCCAGGGGGCUCAGCUUGGCUUCUGUGCUUGUGCUUACCGGUGCACUUUAUUUCCUAACAUACUGGUUUUUCCCAUCUCUCAGAAAAAUGGAUGGAAAAUGAACUGCGGUAAGCAGCAGGGUUGCGACCAAGAUGGAGACCAUUAGCCGUGACAAAGGCAGUGAAGCUGGAGCCUCGGCUGGGAGAAUGAAGGUGAAAGGCAUCAUGGAACGCUGGGAAUCUCUCAGCUCUCUUAUCUAGACUACGACGCUCAGAAAAAUAACUUGGGAUUUCACAGUUUU